rnacentral:rRNA from 1 species
AGAGCGAACGCUGGCGGCAGGCUUAACACAUGCAAGUCGAGCGGGCGUAGCAAUACGUCAGCGGCAGACGGGUGAGUAACGCGUGGGAACAUACCUUUUGGUUCGGAACAACNCAGGGAAACUUGUGCUAAUACCGAAUAAGCCUUACGGGGAAAGAUUUAUCGCCGAAAGAUUGGCCCGCGUCUGAUUAGCUUGUUGGUGAGGUAACGGCUCACCAAGGCGACGAUCAGUAGCUGGUCUGAGAGGAUGAUCAGCCACAUUGGGACUGAGACACGGCCCAAACUCCUACGGGAGGCAGCAGUGGGGAAUAUUGGACAAUGGGCGCAAGCCUGAUCCAGCCAUGCNNNNNGAGUGAUGAAGGCCCUAGGGUUGUAAAGCUCUUUUGUGCGGAAGAUAAUGACGGUA